CAGCGCCCACACCCAGCCUACCAGGUCAGCGGAUCGCGGAUCGUGCGCCCUCGCCCCACCUCGCCCCCGCGCCGUGCACCCCGACCUCCAUCCUCUGCCGCCGUCCUCGCUGCGUCCAGGCCACCACACCCUGAGUUCCAACCUCCGCAGCCGUGCCUGACUGACGAUCCCCUUACUACAGGCAGAUCCUCCUCCGCAGGGCCCGAGCCGUGGGUGGAUCGAGCCAGCUCAAGUCAUCGGGAUCAGAUUGAGGGAAGAAUGGCCCAAUAAAUUAAAGCAGUAACGGUGCAGAAGGUGAUGCUGAAGCUGUUGACAUCAAUGGAGCUCGCUAAUAGGUGUUGAAAUGCUCUUUACCAACUGCAAAUUUCCUGCAGUUGCCAAAUCCAAGCUACAUAAAGGAUGAAAUUGGGAGGCCGAUGUUCGCACCAAGCAGAAACUUCAGUUUGCGGCUACAGAUGCUUACAUCUCGUAGUAACUAUGUGAGGUUCAAGGGGCAUAUCUUGUCAGCUCCAUUCACUGAAGUAUGUAUGAGGUUUAGACACUGAUUUUUGUCCGCCGAUUGCAGACAAGUAUGAGCUCGAUGCUGGAGAAAGCAAGGAAAUCAAUCUCAGAAAGCAGGGCAUGCUGUCGAAGCUUUUGAGCUGGUACAUGUAUUUCGGCGGCAGAGAUGACAGUAAAUUAUUUGUCAAUCUUGCUAUUAUGAGAAAUUUGAUUUGUUCAAUGUCAAAUGUUCAAAAUACUUUGAGGGAUGUGUAAUUUACACAAUUCUAUUUACAUCAUAGCUGAUGUAUGACCUGUAACAAAAAGAUCACCGUAAUUUUGAAUAAAAUGGUUUUUGUUGAAUUUA